GUAGGGGGCGACACCCCCAUUCCAAAACCCUAAACUCACAAAACCAUCAAAUUGAAAGCUCAAAUCUGAUCAAAAACGAAAUCCAAACAUAGAUUAGUGAUCCUCAUCACGAGAGGAUUCCAAGGAAAAUUCCAUGAACACCUUGAAGGACAAGAUACCAGGACAUCGAGCGGGCAAGCCGGUGGUGAUUCUCGUUUGAAGGGCGUGCGUCAAGGUAAUUAGUUGGUCACAUGGAUGGCGAUCAAGCGACUUGAU
rnacentral:lncRNA from 1 species